GUUUAAAUAGUUUAGUAUAAAAUGUUGGUUUGUGAUACCAAAGAUGUGAGUAAUCACUUUAGACC
rnacentral:tRNA from 1 species